UACGUAGGGUGCGAGCGUUGUCCGGAAUUACUGGGCGUAAAGAGCUCGUAGGUGGUUUGUCGCGUUGUUCGUGAAAACUCACAGCUCAACUGUGGGCGUGCGGGCGAUACGGGCAGACUGGAGUACUGCAGGGGAGACUGGAAUUCCUGGUGUAGCGGUGAAAAUGCGCAGAUAUCUGGAGGAACACCGGUGGCGAAGGCGGCAUCCUGGACCGAUACUGACGCUGAGGAGCGAAAGCCAGGGGAGCAAACGGG
rnacentral:rRNA from 1 species